rnacentral:lncRNA from 1 species
UCAUUUUCUAUUAGUAAACAGAGGUGCCUUUAUAACAAGGCAACGACAGCAGAAUAAAGAGAAAAUAAAGAAAGAACCGAAGAGUUGAGACAAUAAGCGAGGAGGAGCAGAGAAAAUAUUAAGACAAACGGAGGUGAACGCGAGCGCUUGCGAACACGAGUAGGCGUCGAGAGUGAGCCACGGCGGCGAGCGAUACGAGUAGGAGCCGCACAGGUGACCAUCCCCGUCCGAGUCACCUCACUUUCCCUCCCAAUAUCUUAACAAUAUUGUGUGACAGACAUGGCUCUUGCUGAUAAUGGACGAAAGCAUGUUCGCUGCGACCAGACGAAGAAUAAUGAGGUGACUUUCAUUACUUGUAAUAUUCUUUUGUAAAUCUCUGGUGCUACUUCAUGGAUACCCAUGCUCUGUUCAAAGUGAAAGUGUUGAGAGUUUUUGGGUGGGUGUGGAGCGAGUUAGGAGGAAUAGGAAGUUGGAAAAGUUGAUUUUCAGGUAAACAAAAAAAAACUUUUCUUUGACACCGUCAAACAACACUAAAAUUCACACACUUCACAAUUCCUUAUAAAAAUACAAUAAUAUUUUAAAUUAAAAAAUAAAAUAAAAAUAAUAAAAUAUUAAUUUAUUAGAAUAUUAGGUGUAUGAUUUUAGUAACGUAUCAGCAUCCGUGAUGUGUUGAUUUUGCUAUGCAGAUAGCAACAAGUGGAAGGUGCAGGCUCAAGAAAUGGGUGGUGGUGAAGAACAUACUUGCCUGGGCCUGGAGGACCAUAACUUUGAACCAGAUCAAGAUCAAGAGGGAAUUAGUUGCUCCUCCUACUAAGUAACUCCUCAACAUUCAAAUCACAUGUAAUUAUUACCUAGAUAGAUGUCAUUAUGU